AAGUCCCCAUCGGGCAAAGCUUAACCAGCAGCCCGUACCGAGUGUUGCGCCUGUGGCGGAGCCAUGCAGUAUAUGGUGAACAAUACAGGUGAAGCGUACACAGGGAACACUGUAGGCCGCAGGGGAGACGUACCUCCCUCAAGCGAUUCAGCCCCGUUAGGAGAAUCAAUGCAGUUGGCGACGGUUUUAACGUGCCGGAAGCCAGUACACAGGGAUCGUGUUGGUGAGAUCCUGAGGGACUGCCGGGGUCCGAGAGC
rnacentral:ncRNA from 1 species